ACUAAACAAGUAUUGGCAAGUAAAGAAUUUAAAUUCACGUCUAGUUAGUGAUUAGUUCUCGCAGUUGAAAGAAAAACGUAAAAAUAAUUAAUAAUCAUGGAUAUUUCGGCCUUUAAAAUUUCAUCAAAUUUGACAAGUACGUAUUGUUAGUGUGAGUGACGGCUGACUGAGUAUACCGGCACAAAUGAGAACUAUAUAUAAAUGAUUAACGCUGUCGCAGCAAAAUAACCGUGAGAUGGCGUUAUUUAUUCUUUUCAAAUUGGAUAUAUCGUAGUAGAAUAUACAUGAAUCAUUUAAAAACACAUCAAAUAUGAUAUGCCUUUUAAAUAAUUUUGUAAUGGGAAAAAUAGAAAAUAGAAAUGAGGAGAAUCACUAACUUUUUAUCACGACAGAGGGCGCACUGUACCUUGGCUUGACAAAACAAACGUCAAAUCGUAUGACGUAUCACUGAGUGUUUAUGAAUAUAAUAUACUUUUGUUCCAAAUGCCUCAAUGCAGUGCGUUAAAUUGUAAAACAGAGGAAUACAUUUAUUUCCAAAGGAAAGUAAACGUAGAAAGCAAUGGGAAUCUGCGUUACGUAUAAAAACUUCGAAGCUAGUAGCACAGCACGAUUGUGUGUUGCGCAUUUUACAGAAAAAGAUUAUUACGGGAAAAUCAAUUAUACAGGUUAUGAGCUCCUUGCAAAAUUUCUUAAAAAAGACAGCUGUGCUAUCUGUGUUCUUCUUAACGAAGAUAAAACCAGAAAAUCCAGCUGCUGUGGCACAUCAACAACGUAUUGAACGAAGAAGUCAGUCGAGUAACAAAUGUAGAUGAUUCACAACCAUCAAGUAGCAAAGUUAACCUAAUAAGUGACAGAGACAAUUUACUGGAAGUUGAUCAUGAAGAAGCAGUCAAAACAGAAGACAACAGUGCAGUAGGAUGUACAUAUAUUAUGCAUGAAUUUAUAUCUAAGGGCACUCAAGUUGAUCAAGAACACAAAUAUGGGUUUAUGAAUAGAUAUAAAGAUGAUAAUGCCACUAUUAAGUUUUACACAGGUUUUGAAUCAUAUAAAAAUUGAAUUUAGUCUACUCAGCUCUUAGUCCAGUGGUUCACAAAAUAAAAUAUUAUGGCAGCAAUGUGAUUAUUCUUAGCAGUGAUUCUAAUUCUAAUUUAUUAGUUGGUGCAAUACCUGGUAGCUUGCUGUUAUAUUGUUCUCAAGCAUUUGCAGGAUUGAUAAGUGAUCAGUAGGCAGUGGAACAAAGUGACCUUUUAGCAAAA